rnacentral:tRNA from 1 species
GGAUCCGCUGCCGGGCCGGUGCGGCGUCGGUCCGGCCGUCGCGAUCCCGGACCUCCCGGUGUCGUUCGAGGCGGCGCGGAUCGC